AGUCAAACUGCAGCAACGCUGGGCAUGCAGCUCAACAUCCUCUGAGACUCUGUCCUCAUUUUGCGAAAUUAGGGACAACCAGACCUAUCUUCCUGUCCUAUCAUAAGAAUUAAAGAAGACAUGGGAGUAUUCCGUAUACAGAGGAAAGCAGAGGGAGUCUUGAAACAGCAGAAGAGGAGACAGCAAUGCAAUCACAGAAGCAGAGAUUGGAGCAAU
rnacentral:lncRNA from 1 species